UACGUAGGGGGCUAGCGUUGUCCGGAAUCAUUGGGCGUAAAGCGCGUGUAGGCGGUCCGGUAAGUCCGCUGUGAAAGUCGGGGGCUCAACCCUCGAAUGCCGGUGGAUACUGUCGGGCUAGAGUGCGGAAGAGGCGAGUGGAAUUCCUGGUGUAGCGGUGAAAUGCGCAGAUAUCAGGAAGAACACCCGUGGCUAAGGCGGCUCUCUAGUACGUGACUGACGCUGAGACGCGAAAGCGUGGGGAGCGAACAGG
rnacentral:rRNA from 1 species